AUUGAACGCUGGCGGAAUGCUUUACACAUGCAAGUCGAGCGGCAGCGCGGGGGCAACCUGGCGGCGAGCGGCGAACGGGUGAGUAACAUAUCGGAACGUACCCAGUCGGUGGGGGAUAACUAUCCGAAAGGAUAGCUAAUACCGCAUACGACCUGGAGGGUAGAAAGGCGGGGGACCGUAAGGCCUCGCGCGAUUGGAGCGGCCGAUAUCGGAUUAGCUAGUUGGUGAGGUAAAGGCUCACCAAGGCGACGAUCCGUAGCUGGUCUGAGAGGACGACCAGCCACACUGGAACUGAGACACGGUCCAGACUCCGUACGGGGAGGCAGCAGGUGGGGUAAUUUUGGACAAUGGGGGCAACCCUGAUCCAGCCAUUCCGCGUGAGUGAAGAAGGCCUUCGGGUUGUAAAGCUCUUUCAGCAGGAACGAAACGGUGGUCCCUAAUACGGGCUACUAAUGACGGUACCUGAAGAAGAAGCACCGGCUAACUACGUG
rnacentral:rRNA from 1 species